GCUUCAGACCCCCACAGGCUGACCCCGAGAUCUCAGACCCCCGCAGAAGGAUCUCGAGAGCUCAGGUCCCCAGUGGGGGAGUGAAUGAGACUUCGGAUCCCUGAGGCAGCAAAUCCCUGUGGGGCAUCCCAGGACUCAGAUCACCGCAUGGUGACCCCAGACCUCACAUUCAGGCAACCCCCAAGCCGCCGAUCGGCCGGGCACUACCCACUAUCCCGGCGACCUCCCUAGAGCUCAAAGGCUUGGCCCUCCAGCUCCUGUGCCCUGCCUGCUCCCAGGCUCAAAACUCCCGCGCACGGAUCCCCGCCCCGGAAGCAACCAGAUUCACGGGAGGUUACCUGACUGGUCCAAGGCAGGGUUUCACUCUGUUGCCCAGGCUGGAAUGUAGUGGUGUGAUCACAGCUCACUGCAGCCUCAACCUCCUGGGCUCAAAGGAUAAGAUCUACUUUUAAUUAAUUUUUGUAUACGGUAUGGGAUAGCGACCAAAGUUCAUUUUUUUGCGUGUAUACAUAUCCAAAUGUUCCAGCAUCAUUUGUUAAAACGUUAUUUUUGUCU